rnacentral:rRNA from 1 species
UACGUAGGUGGCAAGCGUUGUCCGGAUUUACUGGGCGUAAAGGGCGUGCAGGCGGCCUGUUAAGUCUAGGGUGAAAGCUCCCGGCUCAACUGGGAGAGGUCCUUGGAUACUGGCGGACUUGAGGGAUGCAGAGGAAAGUGGAAUUCCCGGUGUAGUGGUGAUAUGCGUAGAUAUCGGGAGGAACACCAGUGGCGAAGGCGGCUUUCUGGGCAUUUCCUGACGCUGAGACGCGAAAGCGUGGGGAGCGAACCGG